GGUUGACCUCGGAUUAGGUAGGAAUACCCGCUGAACUUAAGCAUAUCAUA
rnacentral:rRNA from 1 species